rnacentral:lncRNA from 1 species
GGUGGCCGUUUGGUAGUCGAGUGCGUGAUCCAGCCGAACCGGGCGGCGGGUGCCGUAGGGAGGUCGAUUGCAAGUGACUAGGAGCAAUUGGAACGCGAUAAUAGGUGGGUUGUGUUUACCGAAGCGACUAUGUAAGGACUGAGAUUUUUUGCAGUGUAGCUAAACUCUCAGUUGACGAUAUUUUUGUGUGUAAUUUAAUUAUAAAAGCACUCGUCAAAUUUCGGGAGAAAUCGAGUUAAAACGGAGAUUCUACGCGAUUUCCAAGUUUCAC